ACAAGCGGUGGAUUAUGUGGAUUAAUUCGAUGCAACGCGAAAACCUUACUUACCCUUGACAUGCUAGGAACUUGCCAGAGAUGGCUUGGUGCCCGAAAGGGAACCUAGACACAGGUGCUGCAUGGCUGUCGUCAGCUCGUGUCGUGAGAUGUUGGGUUAAGUCCCGCAACGAGCGCAACCCUUGUCAUUAAUUGCCAUCAUUCAGUUGGGCACUCUAUCGAGACCGACGGCGACAAGCCGUAGGAAGGUGGGGAUGAUGUCAAGUCAGCAUGGCCUUUAUAUCCAGGGCUACACACGUCCUACAAUGACCGGUACAAAGGGAAGCAAGACCGCGAGGUGGAGCAAAUCCCAAAAAGCCGGCCUCAGUGCGGAUUGCAGUCUGCAACUCGACUGCAUGAAGUUGGAAUCGCUAGUAAUCGCAGAUCAGCACGCUGCGGUGAAUAAGUUCUCGGGUUUU
rnacentral:rRNA from 1 species